ACCAGCUCCAGUGUGCAGUUUUCGACGCCAACAUUACCUACAAUUUUGUUGACUUUGUUGAAAAACCCCGUUCAUUCUCUGGGGUACACGGAAAAGAUGCGAAUUAAAACUGAGUAUUCGUUUCAUGAAUACAGAUGCAAAGGUGAGGGCGUUCAAUACCAAUUGGUAUCAGUAUAGCUGGUUACAGGGAGCCUGUCAUCAAGCCGCCUGUAUUGCUAGCCUGCUUUUUUUGGAAGUCUGAGCCUUAGUCGAAAGCUGAGUCCCCUCCUGUUCACUGAUUAAGAGGUGAUGACUACUCCACUCUACUGCCAUUGUCAACUUUCUCCUGACAUGAACUGAAGCCACGUCUCAUGUGCCCGUUCAUCCACGGGCACAUUGAGUGUUUCCUCUCCAAGCACUUCAAAUCCUGUCCUGCACUGAAGUCAAGUCUCUGAACACCUCAACUCA